GUACUACUAAAGUCAAUAACCAAACUACAGAAAUUAGUAAGAUAUUCAAUUUACUAAUUAAAUUUCUAUAAAGUUUUACGCUAACAAAAACAAUAACUCUUCAUUUUUAUUCAAAUUUUUUGACGACUGAGUUUUAAGACAUGAAAAAUGUGAAAACUACGUGAAGCUCAAUGAGCUGAAACAAAUUUAUCUUAGUAGUAUUAAAGCAGAGUUGCCUCUUCGGUGGCAAAUUUUCAAGUUGUUUACGCCACUUCGGCACUACGCCCGUUUAUCGCCUGCGCUUUCCUCUCCUCCCGAAAUCUCCAUUAGUUCAAAGUUUUUGGUGGUUGUGUCGGUUCGGUUUCGGUAACAUGGUAAUAAUCUGUGGCCGAGAAGAUUCCGUAGCGUUGUGAGUGUUUACCGAGAAUUGUGGUGUUUCCCGUGAUUUGUGAUUGUGCUUACAGUGUUACUUGUGGAUAUUUGGAUAACCAUUUUCAAGAUCUCCUCUUUUAGUGGAUUAAAUUCCUUAAGACUGCCGAUGACAACGACAAAAUAAAGCAACAAAUUCAGUUUCAGGUCCCACGGUAAUCAGAAAAUUAGACCGGCACAAAAUGUCAAUGUCAUUGGUGGUGCAGGGUGCCGUCGAGGAAAUGCAAUGCAAUAUAUUUGGGGCUUGCUCUAUUCAGAUCAGAACUUGGGUUUUUUAAGAAUGAAGUCAGUGACAUUGGUACUUCAAGGACACGUUCACAGCGGGUCGUAUGCAGCCCGUAACAACGAUACUUCGUGUCACAUACAUGGUGCCUGUGAGGAUCAGAUGAAUUUGUUGAGUGAGGCCUUCCCAGAAUGCAGAGACAACACAAUCUAUUUUGAGCGUGGAAUGCAGCAGUUAGUUAAGCAGGUGCACCUACAAAGACCAGUGUGCCAUGUCCUGAAUAUUUUGACCAAAGAAUAUGGGUACAAAAUUGUCUCCUCUAACUCCUUUUCUUGGAAUGACUUUACGAUUUCGAUGGAUUGGACCUUACAGAAAGAUUUGAUACUGGACUAAAGGUUGUUAAAAUGAUCAUUUACAUAAUACUAAUAAGUUUUGAUGCGGUUCUAAUAACGAAGUGAAUUGGAGGCCUAUAUCUUGUUUCAAAUGCUUAUUUUUAAAAAAGAUCAACUGUAUGAAUCUGUAUUUUUUGUUCUUCCUGUAUCAUUAAAUACCUUCAUUCUAAAUUCUCUAAUUGUUUUUUGUUUGUUUUUUUUUUUUUUUUAACUACCGUAUUUUUGAGGGUUGCGGAGAUCGAUGUGUCAACCGAGAACUACUUUUAUUCCUAUAUGGAGAAAUUAAAAUUCGAAGCACAAAAAUUCCGAAUUCCCUCAUCGGAAUCCUAUUCUCAUCCACUUUUUUAUGUAUUAAAAUGUACUAAAAUUUAAAUAUCUCGCAUAAGUUUAGGCGCCCUAUAUUUUUCUCCCUUUAUUACACUAUAUUCUUAAACCAUGAACAAACUCUUACUUACAUCUAAUCAUUUCAACCGUGUUGGAAGAAUAGGAAUAUUUUUCCUCUUUGUCGGGGAAAUGUCAGGGAAUUUUAAAUUUUUCCCCGGUUUUUUAGCCGUUUUUGCCAGGGAAAUCAGAGAAACGUCAGAAUUUUUUUUUUUUUUUGAACAUUGCGAGACACUCGUGCAGGACCACAAUAAACAAAACACAUUAGUGAGUUAUGCAAAUAUUAAGGGACUAUUAUCAACUUAUCAAAGUAUAAAACGAAUUAAAACGUCGUUAAUGACAUAACUGUCCCCAUAAUGCUGGCUGUCACUGUCAUCACUCUUAAAAUUUUAUCACCCGUCGCAACUUAGAGGAAAAAUAAUCAGUAUGCUUACAAUGCUCACAGUAGAAUCAGGUCCACCGGUCAUCGUCUUAUAUAGUUAAAAUUUCCCUAAUGUUAGACCGAAAUAAUCAUUACCAGGGCAGGAUUUACCUACUUGCCGCCCAUGGGCCGCCUGUAUUUUGCCGCCCCCUUCUCAUUAGUUUUGAAACAUCAAUAAAAACCAUCAAGUGAACGUGCGGGAGAAGGAUGCAGAAGACGCGUUUACUUGCGUUGGACACAUUUUUUUGGGAAAGCCCUGUCAACACUACUAGCAAAAGUUCACGGAACUCUGCGCAAAAGUUAAGUUCCGGAAACCUGUCUCUGUGUGGACAAAGCCUUCCAUUCAUAGGAAAUGAACAAAAAAAUUAUGAAAGAACAAACAUAAAUGUGAUUUAAUGAUUUUAACUUCCGCCGCGCCACGCAGGCAGAUCGCACCGUGUUUGGCGCAAUGCGUGAAGUAUUCAUGCAUUCUUGUAGGCGCUAUCCGUUUCACGCUGACUGCAGUGAUCGCACUGUGUUUGAUGCAAUGCGUGAAGUAUUCGUGCAGUCUUGUAGGCGCUAAUAUGUGUUACAUGCAGAC
rnacentral:lncRNA from 1 species